AUGGAGAGUUUGAUCCUGGCUCAGGAUGAACGCUAGCGGCAGGCUUAACACAUGCAAGUCGAACGAGAAGCUACCUUCGGGUAGUGGAAAGUGGCAGACGGGUGAGUAACGCGUGGGAAUAUACCUAGAGGUACGGAACAACGCCGGGAAACUGGUGCUAAUACCGUAUGUGCCCUUCGGGGGAAAGAUUUAUCGCCUUUAGAUUAGCCCGCGUUAGAUUAGCUUGUUGGUGAGGUAAAAGCUCACCAAGGCGACGAUCUAUAGCUGGUCUGAGAGGAUGAUCAGCCACACUGGAACUGAGACACGGUCCAGACUCCUACGGGAGGCAGCAGU
rnacentral:rRNA from 1 species